UAUCUCUGUAGAGUCUGCAUAUCAAUAAGCGGAGGAAAAGAAACUAACAAGGAUUCCCUUAGUAACGGCGAGUGAAGCGGGAAGAGCUCGAAUUUGAAAUCUUCAAGGUUCUACCUUGACGAAUUGUAGUUUAAAGAAGUGUUUUCUGUUAGAUGAGUAGCAAAAGUUCCUUGGAAUGGGACAUCAUAGAGGGUGAGAAUCCCGUAUUUGGUUAUUCAUUCUAGCUUUGUGAUACACUUUCAAAGAGUCGGAUUGUUUGGGAAUGCAGUCCAAAAUGGGUGGUAAAUCUCAUCUAAAGCUAAAUAUUGGCGAGAGACCGAUAGCGAACAAGUACCGUGAGGGAAAGAUGAAAAGAACUUUGAAAAGAGAGUUAAACAGUACGUGAAAUUGUCAAAAGGGAAGCGUUUGACACCAGUGUUGUUUUUCCGAAAAUCAAUUACGAAUGGCUUGACUUUUGUGUUGUAUUGACCUUAUCAGCUUUCUUCACUUUUUUCGAGUCUUUCUUAAUGCACUUUUCGGUUAACAAGUCAACAUCAAUUUCUUUUGUUGUAAAAGAGUAUACGGAAGGUGGCUUUCUUUUCGGAGAAAGUGUUUAUAGCCCUAUGACUUCUGCAAUCGGAGAGAUUGAGGUCUGCAGCGUAGAUCCUUCGGGGUUAGAUACACUUGUGCUAAGUUGUAGCUUUUCAUAGACAACUUGUUGACUAUGUUUAGUCAUGCGGCUUACUCGCUUGUGCUAUUUUACCUACGCUUAGGAUGUUGACUGAUAUGUAGUCGU
rnacentral:rRNA from 1 species